GCAGAGGCGCGGCCGCCUCUCGGGCUUCCUUCCUAGGGGGCGCUCUGGCUCGCGGGCGCAGGCAAACGCGAGGGCGUGGGACUCUUUGCCCUCUUAGGGCGGAAGGAACGCGGCCAGGCUGAGAAAGGGCGGCCGCGACCCGAGGCGCCCGAGUCAAAGGAGCGGCCCCCCUCUCUCCGAGGGGGUUGGGGGUCCGGACGGCCGGGCGGGUCUCGGCGGGAGCCUGGGCCCCUUGAGAGACUGUGGCGGUGCGGCUGCUCGGUUUCGCGGCUUCUCCGCCGCCGUCGAGCUGGUGUUGCGCCCUUGCUCGCCCUGGAGUCGGACUGUGUAGCGGGGCGCCCUGCGAGUUCCAGGCCCAGUGGGCCUGAGUACCAGACGCGGUCAUGGUUAUCUGGACGCUGCUGUUAUUGUUUCUGAAUCCCGGAACUGGGGCCUGACUCCCUAGAGAGACUGAGGGUGCCGAGAUGAGUUUCCAGUGCUGACCAGUGCAGCUGUAUUUUGCUAAAAGUUAGAAGUGGGUGCUGUCAGUGGUGAAAUAAAAUUAGGACCGAGGCCUUUCCAGUUGGUGCUUACUCAGUCCGUGCUGACCCAUGGUCAGGGCUUGGAGCAGAGCUGUAAGGGAGGGCGGAGUCCUCCAGUAGAGGUCAUUGCGGAGUGGAUCAAAGCAGAAAUAAGCCUCUCGGGCCAGCCCAAGACUUCACUGAAAGCAGUAACAUACCUAAAGCAGGAAUGCCUCAAUCAGGAAUUUAGCCAAGAAACAAACAAACAAAAAAAGCCUGGGAAGUAAAUAAUUUGGCAAGAUCCCUGUCUAAAGGGAAAGUCUCCUGAGCAGGUACAAAACCUAUCUUGUUCUAAUAGUGGAGGUAGUUUGGUCUAUCAAAGUUUUAUGUGAUUCUAUUAAGUCAUACAACUAAACCUAUUAUUCCUUUACUUUUCUCAAUAAGUGCAGUUCUGAAUAUUAUUUUAAUUUCCAUAUGGUUUUUCUACAAUGAGAGAACGGCUUGGCCAAAUGAAAUAAAUAGCCAUUUCCUAUGACAAUUACAUUUUUCACUGUAAAUUAAUACAUUGGUAUUUUUAUUUUUAUACACAAGCUUCUAAUGAACAUGAUUCAGCAUGUCUGGUCCAGUAAUGCAAAGGCUGGACCCUAAACUAAGUGAAUUCACAAAAGAUAAAUACUGCUCUGAGGCCUUUUGGCCAGCAUGUUUUCUAACUCCCCAAUUUUGCAACACCUUCCAACCUCUUUUGCACUGAAAGGAAUUUCUGCAUACAGUCAAGGAUUAAAACAUGGUGAAGAGGGGCACUUGGGUGGCUCAGUCGGUUGAGCGUCCGACUUCAGCUCAGGUCAUGA